rnacentral:rRNA from 1 species
ACACUCCUACGGGAGGCAGCAGUGGGGAAUAUUGCACAAUGGGCGCAAGCCUGAUGCAGCCAUGCCGCGUGUAUGAAGAAGGCCUUCGGGUUGUAAAGUACUUUCAGCGGGGAGGAAGGCGAUAAGGUUAAUAACCUUGUUGAUUGACGUUACCCGCAGAAGAAGCACCGGCUAACUCCGUGCCAGCAGCCGCGGUAAUACGGAGGGUGCAAGCAUUAAUCGGAAUUACUGGGCGUAAAGCGCACGCAGGCGGUCUGUCAAGUCGGAUGUGAAAUCCCCGGGCUCAACCUGGGAACUGCAUUCGAAACUGGCAGGCUAGAGUCUUGUAGAGGGGGGUAGAAUUCCAGGUGUAGCGGUGAAAUGCGUAGAGAUCUGGAGGAAUACCGGUGGCGAAGGCGGCCCCCUGGACAAAGACUGACGCUCAGGUGCGAAAGCGUGGGGAGCAAACAGGAUUAGAAACCCGAGUAGUCCCAUG